GACGAACGCUGGCGGCGUGCUUAACACAUGCAAGUCGAACGGUGAACCUCUUCGGAGGGGUUCAGUGGCGAACGGGUGAGUAACACGUGGGCAACCUGCCCCCGGCUCUGGGAUAACUCCAAGAAAUUGGGGCUAAUACCGGAUGUUCACCGCUUCCCGCAUGGGUGGUGGUGGAAAGGGUUUCCGGCGGGGGAUGGGCCCGCGGCCUAUCAGCUUGUUGGUGGGGUAGUGGCCUACCAAGGCGACGACGGGUAGCCGGCCUGAGAGGGUGACCGGCCACACUGGGACUGAGACUGAGCCCAGACUCCGACGGGAGCGGGAGGUGGGAGUGGGGAAGAAUGGGCCGGAGGCGAGACGCUGCGACGCCGCGGGGGGGAGAAGGACGUAGGGUUUGGAAACGUCUACCUCCAGGAACAAGGAAGAUGGGAAGGGAACUGGACAAAGAAGCCCGGCCAAACUCGGG
rnacentral:rRNA from 1 species